GGCUCUGAGUGGGUCGGCCAUGCGUGUGCUGGCGAGAUGCACUGAAUGAUAAUGAGCUAUGCAAAUACGUGUGUGUGUGUGUGUGUGUGUGUGUGUGUGUGUGUGUGUGUGUGUGUGUGUAACGGAGGAGGGGGCUCGCUCGCCGUAUCGCUCCCUCCAUCCAUCCGUCCAUCCACUCCUCCUCCACCUCUUCUUCGUUGGUGGUGUGCCGGUUGGAAGGACGCCCCCCCCCCGCGCUUUGACACACUUGCACACACGCAGCAACGCACACCUCCGCUAUGUGUCACUACCCGUUGCAGCUGCGUCUCCCCGUCGCUCCAUCUACCUACGCUUGCUCUUUUCCCACCUUUUUUUUGUUUUCUUUGCCGUCUGUCAGUCUUUGUCCCUCCUUGUUCUCAUCCCCACGCCAUCACCACGCCAUCACCGCUCCUCUGUUUCACAGGAGAAAAAGACCAACUAACGCUCUGGCCGACCAAAGUGAGAAAGAGAAGGAGGAGGAAAGAGAGAAAAGUUGAAGAGGAGAAGAAGGCGAGAAGCUGGAGAGUGCGUCUGGAGCGCGGCGGCUCCUCCUCACGCCUUGAGCCCGACUCUACUUUGAUGGAAUACCCCGGGACAGCGGAGGGCAGAAGGAGAGAGGAGGAGGAGGAGGAGAAGAAAAGGUGAAGGUGAAGGUGGACCGGGAGAAGAAACAGAGAGUGAGAGCCUCAGGAAGGGUAAGUUGACCCAAAACCAUAGAAGAAAAAUAAUCUAGAACAUAAUAUAGAACACGACAGGCAGCUUAUCAAACAACUUCAGCAGCUCUGCUCCUUUUGCCAUUUUUUCAUUUGGCUUUUCAUCUCCGUCUCCCUCUCUCUCCCUCGGCUGAGUGUCCACAGGCUCCGUUUGGGAUUCUUUUCUUCUCUGAUUGCAAAACUGCUCUCCGGACUAGAAUCUCCUCUCUCCGUUUUUCUAUUUUCUAUUCUAAUUAAUACCCCCUUAUGCGAUCCCUCAAAGAUCCUCUCUCUCUCUCUUUGACUCUGCUUCUCUCCACCACGCUCUCUGCUUUCUCCCCCCUCGCUCCAUCUGUCUGCCUUUGAGAAGCAAAUAAUUGGAUGUGGAGUUUGGCUUCUUCGUGGCUGAGCCGGAGGAUCGAGGCUGUACGGCACUUCACACACACCAUUAUGCGCAUGCAUACACUGGGAGCUCAGGGUGUGCGUAUGCGUGUGUGAUUGUGAGUGAAUGCCGGAGUGUGUGUGUGUGUGUGUGUGUGUGUGAACCUCCUUCUUUGCUGAUGUUUUGUGUCAUUUUUAAAGGGUACGGCUGGUGUGAGUUCUCAUUUAAUCCCGUGAAAAGACCAAACCAACUUCAUGUUUCGGCCCUCUCCAAUAUCUUAGUCUAAGAUGUAAAUUUACAUUUAAAAAAAGACUAAAUGAUGCACGACAUCAUUUAGUCUUUUGGGUAAACCCCUUUGAACAAUGAGUAAACAACGCUUUUAUUGGACUAUUGUCAGUCAUCGAUGAAAAACUUCUAAUUACCCUGAUGAGUUUGCAGUAAUUGUGGGAUUUAGUCAAAAUAAACAAUGGAGGAACGUGUCGUUGUUGUUUGUAAUGGCUUUUGGGUCACAAUGGAACUCAGUGUCACAAAGAAAUAAGACUUUAGACACACCAGACGCACUUCAGUGUUCUUAGUGUUAUCUUAAACGUCACUUUGCUUCUGUUCGUUUUCAUCUCUAAAGUCAAGUGUGAUCUUCUAAAGCAGCGUCAUGCUCUUCACUUUGUCCGCGUCAAGCUGUUGGGGCUCAAUUAUCAACAAAAAAUGAUGUGACAAGGCAAGACAUUGUUCUCCCAGCGCGAGACGAAACUGGAAGAAAGCGAAAAGGAGCAGAAGAGCGAGAGAGAGAGAGAGAUGCUCGACUGUGUGAGAGACCUUUGAAGAGAUUGGUGGCAGAGGUAUUUCCCCGGAGAGAGAGAGAGAGAGAGAGAGCGAUGAAGAGGACGAGGAGGAGGAGGAGGAUCGAGGAGCGCCUGAGACGGGAAGACAGGAGGUUGUGUUGUAAUGCUGCAGGCUGGCUGAUCCACACUGAGAGGAGACGUGGAAGCCGCUCACUUUUUCUGCUCCGAGGACAGGACGCCAAGUCUCUGGUGGCGACCAAGAGACCCUCCAGAGCCGCACGCACACACACACACACACACACACACACACACACACACGCACGCACGCACGCACACACACACACGGAACAAGAAGGGUCUCCGCUUCACAUUUUCUUCUUCUUUUCUUCUUCUACUGUAUUUCAUUAUUCACUAGGUCUCUUUUUUUCCCUCCCUCUCUCUCUCUCCUCUCCACCACCUCCUGGGCCAACCACAUCUCCCUCCUCCUCCUCCUCCUCCUCCUCCUCCUCCUCCCACUACUACUACCGCUGCUCAGCUCCAUCCAGUUCAGUCCCAUUGUCCUCACGCACACACACCUUGCGCACUCACGUGUGCGCGUGUCCUCCGGAGUGCAGCUGCAGCGGAGCGCCGGGUCCCGGUCCGAGGUCUUUGUGGAUCCGCUGCGGCGUCUGAUAGGCCAUGCCCUUCACCUGCGCCUGCUUCUGUGGCCUGAACAGCUUUUACCGUGGACUGGGAAAGAAGAAAAGGGAAAAAGUGGAGGAGGAGAAGGAGGAGGAAGAGGGUGACCGAUGGAGGGAUCAGGAGACAAAGGUGUGACAGCGCUGCUGUCCUCACCUUCAUCAGGGUAUUAUCCUUUAACAGACUGCAAUGUACAGCCCUGGGUUGUAUGCAUUAAGAUACUUUAACAGGGAUUGUUAGGGCGCCUCAUCGGGGUACAAGCUUUUUAUCGUUUAUAACAGAGAAAGGUUUUUGUCACAUAGGUUUCAGGAUUGACAUGUUUUGCUACUUUUUGAGCUUUAUAAACUCAACAAUGCUGUCUCAAGCCAUAUUCUUCAAGAAACCAAACCCCUAUUAACUCAAGCUCAGUGCCCUUAACCGUGCUACCUGCGCUCGAAUUUUCCCUUGGCAGCGGACCGUUUGAUCCAUUUCUCGCCAGUGGACUGUAUCAGGUCCCCCUCUUUCUCCCCCCAAAUCAUCUCCCCACCUAGUUGCUUUUGUUAGACUUUGCAGUAACUUCAGCCAAGAAGAAGAAGUGUACAGUUUUUUUCCAAAGUCACACUGGAGGGCCGGGAGCCUCAUCUUGGCUUUCACGCCUGAGCUGGGCCCGAUUGAAAGCAGAGCAGCUGUCCAAUCAGCGGCUUAGCUGAAGUGUGAAGAUAGGAGUCAAGGGGUCAGGAUGAGCAACAGGGCUUUACGAGACAUCCCUCCUCUGAUGCCAUAGCAUCUCAGUCUCAUCAAUAGGGAGACAAGUAAUUACAAAAUACACUCACACACACAAUGACGCGGGCCCAUCCAUUAAUGUCCCGCCCGGUGGGAGUGGAGUGUCGCUCCGUAAAUGCCACCGCCGUGCGCUUCUAGCUGCCAGCCGCGUGGCAGUGCGCGACUCCGCGUGCUCGUCUGUCUCCUCGACUGCAACAAUAGCCUUUGAAAGCCUGAAACAGUGGCCAACAGAUCUAUUCAGCUGCCACGGAACUGGCUUUUCACGAUUGCCCAUCGAGCCACAAACACACACGCAGGUCUCAUUAGGCGCAUGCCAUUAUGCGUGGCACGUCCGGUCGGGCGGCAGAGAUGUAAUUAACCUUUUCCUGCAGGAAACAGAUGCCUUACGCACACACCGCACACACACACACACACACACACACACACACGCGCGCGUCUGCUGUCAGGGAAACAAAGCCGACGUCACCGUGUCACAGAGAAACAAAGCCCCAAAAGAGCCGCCUGGCACUCUCUGAUAAUCCCCCUCACCCAUAUUUACAAUCAGGGCUUAGAAUACGCCUCGCCGCCGCCGUCUCCUUCCACUGCCGCACUCAGUUACCAGCACCACCACCAUCCGUGCCUCCACCCAUCCAUCUUCUUUCCCUCCUAUCUGUCCACCUUCCAUCACAUUCACCCUUUACCUCCCUCGAUCUCUUCCCCUCAUCCAUCUUUUACAUCCCAGCUGCAAAACUCCUUUGCGGGGAUUUGGUUUAUCGUCAGUGUGUCGUACGCGGCCUUGCACGCCAUCAACCGCGGAUUAUCGCCCACCCACACGCUGACUCUCUUCAUCCCCGAACAACAGGAAUUUAUUUAGGCGGACCAGAAGAAAACUGCUUCACGACAGAUUAAUGGACGGCCCCGAUAGCGUCAGCGGGUGUGUUUCUGUGCUUCUGUGUGUUUACUCAUUUCCCAGCUGCAAUCGGCGAGACGAGACAAAGCUGAAGACAUUUCACAGUGCGGAGCACCUAUUAUGAUUCACGGUGUUACGACGCGGCCCUAAUGAGAAAAAGAGAGAAUGGGAAGAGGGGCUGUAAAGGGAUAGACGAGGAAGAGAGAGAGAGAGAAAGGGGGGCUAACGCUGGAGAGAGCAGUCAUGCUAAUUGGCUACAGUGGAUAACUUUCUGAGGCGAGGGUGAGUGUGUUUGGUGAUGGGCGGGGGGGCGAGAGGUGGGGGGCGGCGGGGGGGGGGUUUUCAGAGAAAAAGAACAGCCUGAUCUGUCAGCGUUACACUCAUUUAACGCUCCCUCCAUUUCACCUCUUUAAUGAGUAAAAUAUUCGCUCCAGUAAUGGCGAAAGACUUGAAAUUGGUAACGAUUUGUUGCUCUCUCUCACACACACACACACACACACACACACAGACCAUUAGGUGGCAUAGGGGAGGGGUGGGGCUGGAGGGAGGAUAAUGUUGGCCCGAGUGGGUGUGUGUUUUCCCCCUCAAGCCAGACAAACCAGUCCUUUAUGGAUCAUGGCAAUUUUCAGGGAUGUUUAACUCAAGGACAAAGAGCUAAAAAUAGAAGGGGUCGUGCACAACUUGGUGGGAGAAGGUGUGUGUGUGUUUCGGUGUGUGGGGGUGGCGAAGACAAGUUUUGUCGCAUUAGAUUUGGGUCAGAAAACGAGGGGGAGAGCCGACGAAGCGGAGAGCGUUGCAGACGGCGGCGGAGAUUCAUCACUCGCUGCUCGCGCUUGUCUCCUUCGACGCAUCGCCGCGACCUCUCCUGCUCACCUUUCCUCCCCCAGGAUGGCAAAACCAGUGCAAGUGGCGAACAGGUGAAGGGAAUGUAUGAAGUGAGAGGAUAAUCCACAUCUAGAUAAUAUUAACAUUUGGUGUUCCGGUACCUUGAAGUAAAAUGAGCACACACAUACUGUGGCAGACCCCAGCAGGGAUGUUUCUUUUGGUCGGAGUCCGCUCCAGUUUCAAAGAUUAUAGUUAUGCCAUUUCAUUUUGACAAACGCUGACAUACCAUUCUCUCCAAUAUUAGCUGAGAGGUACAAUACCUGUAUGGUUAGCGUAAGGGGAAAUGCGAAACGAUUAAAUUAGCAUAUAGACGGAACUCCUCGCAAGACAGCCAAAAAAAAAAUCGCAUUUCCCCAAAUGUCAAACUAUGCAUUGAAUCAAAUGGGGAGUAUGUUGAUUUACCUUCUAUUACGUGAGAGAUUGAACCAAAUAAACCUGACAGAAGUGCCUUGGUCAAGGAAAAAAAUAACUUCCUCAUCACUUCUGAGUACCUUUCUCCAGGGACAAUACAAUUCAUCUCUCGCAUUAAUAAACAACUCUUCUUCCCUCAUGUGCAUCAGACAGUCGUCCCUCUAUUACAUUCUCCACGCCUCACCCCGCAUCUGCUCUAGUCGUCCUAAUGAAGACAAAAGAAUUGGUCCCACCAAGGCUAAUUAAGAGGACUGAGAUACAGACGCGCUGACAGCCUGCCGAUGGACUCAGGAGGGAAGCGCUUAGAGCUCCCUGCCAGUCACGGGGCAUCAACGAAGCGAAUGGGAAAAGGGAUGGCGAGGGCAAAAAAAAAAACAAGCAGAGGAAGAGGAGCGGAAUAGGGGUGGGGGUAUACAGCGUAAUUGAGACUGUAAUGGGUUUUGUCAGAAGCACCUGUCAGGGUCAAGUUAAAACGAUUUUGGCGCGAGGGAGACGGGAGGGAUGGGAGAGGGGAGAAGGGGGGGGGGGGGCAAUUGGAGUCAGGAUCCCGGUGAGGAGAGGCCCUCGUCCAUGCCAACCUCACCUGAUUGCCAAUUUGUGCCAGUCUACAGACAUCAAACGCCCCCAAACACGAGCCCCGCGCAGACACACCGAAAGAGGAACGCGUUCGAUCACACUCACGCACGGACGCCGACGUCAAGCUACCCGCGCCGGGCUGAUUGGACCCAUCUAGCCACUUAACGAGGUGUCCACGGUGCCGACCCUGAGCUGCGUGAUUGGGAUAUAAAGCCGCCGCCGUUAAAUAUCUAAUUCUCCGCCCACGUCUGGAUGAAAAUAAGGCGCGGCGCUGAUUAGAUUGCAGCCUGCUGCGCCAACCCGCCGGGUCUGCGCCAUGUUCGUUACCAGCCCUCGACCCCCUCCCACCCCACCCCGACAGGUACCGUACCCGCCCCCGCCCCCCGGGCCAAUCCCAUCUCGGUUCAGGUGCUCCUGCCAACCACAAACAGCCUAUUUUGUGAUGGAAAAGCAAUUCCGACACCCUCGAGAGUUGAGGUCGAUGCCUGCGGAGUGAUGAAAUUAAGUUGAGUAAAAUGCAUUUACAAAUCAAUGUUAAAGCCGCACCUGGAAAAUUAAACAUGUGACAGCCCCCCGAACGCCAGCGGGACGCAGCUGAUUUAAAUUUAGAACCUCUGACACAAUUGAAUUCUUUUAGGGAAAUAUCAGUGAAUACCCCGCUGAGGUGAAGAGGUUCAGGCGCCGUCCUCUCGGGACGAGUGCCGUCAACUAUUUGACAGCGGAAUUUCUUCAGGCAAAUAGUAAAAAGCCCAACGUUUCCCCUUUGCUGAUGAUUGUUACGUAAAACGAAACGAAACAAAAGCCGUAGAGUGAGCGACAUUAACAUGAAGACAUUUAGCUCCAAAAAGUCAUUGCAAGUCUCAUACUAUUAACUAUGAUCUCUAAAUAAUCCCCCGGGAAGCUUUUGGGGAAUGUAACCCGGUUCACUGCCAUGGUUUGGCUUUCCUUGCAGUUAUCCUUAAUAAUCUUAAGUGUCAGGAUUUAAUACGAGUAAUGAGAGCAGCCACUUUAUGUCCGAUUCAUGUGUUCGAAAGCGGAAAAAAAUCUGCCGGAGGCCUCGGAGUUUGUGGGCUGAAGGUUAGAAGAGAUGCACAAAUCCACAUGGACACGGUGUCUUUUUUUUCAUCACCUCUGAAAGAAUCAUCCGCUCAACUCUUAAGCAACUUCUGCAGCUACUCCGGUCCAUCGCCACCUUCAGCUAACACGUGGCCUCAAAACAGAGAGGAAAAGAAAUGUAUAUGGAGUCAUGUUUUCAUUCGAUGAAAACUUUCCUAAUUGUCUUGGCGCCUGAUGCUAAAUCCCCAUCACCAAAGAAAUCAAUUCCUCUCCACUUUCUCUUCAUUGUGCUCUGCCCCCCGUUCUCCCGUCAGCCGCCCUCCCCAAACUCCCACUUGCACUGGUCGAUAGCGGAACGGGCAUCUAGCAGUGGCUUUGGUCUAAGUGAGGGAUUGAUUUUUGUGUGGGUGGGGGGCGGGGGGGGGGGGGUAACUAUGGGGCUUGAGUCACAGACCUCUUCUCUAAAAUGCUCCCUGAUGAAGUCUGUGAUUUAGUUGUGCUCAAGAACAAUACUUGUCAUUAGGGGCUGAUAGCAUUCAUUAUGAGCGACGCGGCGGCGCCACUAAUGAGGCCAAACACCUCGUUCUCCUCCAGACACAACGAAGCGCGGCCGAGGCGCACGCAGGGAGACGCCACAUCGUCCCGAUUGCAGGCUUGGGUUUCACUCUCGGGGGGCCACGUUGGCUCAUCAGAGCGCCCCGGAAGCGAAAAGUGGCUGGACGGGAGUCUUUGUUUUGGAAGCUCCGCUCAUAAUAUUUACUGAGGCGCUGGUAUUGUCAGACGCACAAUGACAGGCUCCCUCCCCCCUCACCCCCCACUCCCCCCCAUCCUCCUGUCCUCCCGUCCUCCCGGCCCCCUUCCAUCCAAAGCCGAUGAGCACAGAGCGCGUUCCCAUUGUCUGCAUUCUAGAUGCUGCUUCGGGAUUUGCGUUUGGGCCUUUGUGUGUAAAUAUACAUGGCCCUCCCCGACCUGUGCCUGUCCGCCGGGGUCCGACUGCAUGGAAUCUCCUCUCUUUCCACAGAUGUUCUGUAUUAUUCAGAGAUCUGGACCUUUUUACGGACGAGAGGGAAAACGGCAAAGCAGAAACGCAGAGCGAGAGGGAGAGAGAGAGAGAGGGAGGAGGCAGGAGAGAGUAGCAUCAACAGUGAGAUACAUGAACAGGAGGUCAGAGAGGUGACGGACGGACGGGGGGGGUGGAAUGGAGGGGGGGGGGUUGGGCGAGAGGCAGAAAGUGUGUGACAGGGAGAGCGGGAGGAGAGACACACACUGCAUCACAAAGGUUGCCUCACAUUGACAAAAACCCACCGACCAAUGCUUUGGCCAGGCAGCGCUGGCGCACACACACACACACACAAAACCUGCCACGUGCUGCGUGUGUGUGUGUGUGUGUGUGUGUGUGCUGGUGGUCCGCAUGCUGCAGAAGAGUGUUUGAAAUGCAGAGCACGUCCUAGGGAGCUCCUUUUGCAGUAAAGCCUCAUUAAAUAGACACUUGCCUUAAAGCAAGGAUAUACUGCCAGGACCACACACACACACACACACACACACACACGUUCAACACCAGAGAUUCGCUCAGGCCACAAAAAGCAACGCACACUCAGAAAAGACUUCAGGCGAGUCCAAUAGAAAUCUCUGUGGAGAAAUAAAAAGAAAUGCGACAGAGUAAACGUCCUCCACCACCCUCCUCAUUCCUCCUUGUUCCCUGUCCUUGUUCUUCAUAUGAAUAAAGUUGAAUCCAUCCACACCACACGCCCACGCGCCGCUCUCCCAUCUCGCACUGAUAUUGUAUUCAUGUAUAUUUGAUUGUGUCGACUCGGUGGAGAUUAGCGAUGCUGUAUCUCGUGUGCCUUUUUAAAAAUGCAUCUAUGAAUAAAUAACGUGUGUAUCCGCUGAUAUAUUGCCAAAAAGCCAUGAUGAAAUGAUAAUGUAAUAACUGUCGCCGCGUUGAAUAAAGUGGAGCGCUACUCAUUCUUUCUGUUUAUUUGAGGGGGGUUUUAUCGGGGGGGGGGGGGGCCUGAUGACAUUCUCCUUGCCACUGACAGUGCGUUUUAAUAAAGAGAGAGCUUUUUUCUAUACAUCCGAGUGCUGCAUGGUUAUUUGGAGAAAUUAAUAAAGAG
ensembl:lncRNA